ACGGAAGGCAGCAGUGGGGAAUAUUGCACAAUGGGCGAAAGCCUGAUGCAGCGACGCCGCGUGAGUGAAGAAGUAUCUCGGUAUGUAAAGCUCUAUCAGCAGGGAAGAAAAUGACGGUACCUGACUAAGAAGCCCCGGCUAACUACGUGCCAGCAGCCGCGGUAAUACGUAGGGGGCAAGCGUUAUCCGGAUUUACUGGGUGUAAAGGGAGCGUAGACGGUUUGGCAAGUCUGAAGUGAAAUGCGGGGACUCAACUCCUGAACUGCUUUGGAAACUGUCGAACUAGAGUGCAGGAGAGGUAAGUGGAAUUCCUAGUGUAGCGGUGAAAUGCGUAGAUAUUAGGAGGAACACCAGUGGCGAAGGCGGCUUACUGGACUGUAACUGACGUUGAGGCUCGAAAGCGUGGGGAGCAAACAGGAUUAGAUACCCUGGUA
rnacentral:rRNA from 2 species